GGCUCCCAGCCUCAUAGGGCUGGUGGUAAAUCUGCCUCCUCCUCUUCCUCCUCCUCCCACCCCACUCCGGUGGGGUGGUGGGGGAUGCACGUGGUCUCCAGGUUCCCAUCCUCUCCUGCCUUUCCCCUCUGGAGUUGGUUUUCUCAGGUGUUUUAGGAUGUUACUGAUCCCAUGUUACUGAUCCCAUUUGGGAUGCCUUAAAUAGAAUUUGUUUGUUUCUCUAACUCAGGCAUUGACAGAACAGUUGACAGAUGAGGAGCUUGCACAAGGAAGACUUUAUCCUCCACUGUCUAAUAUCAGGGAAGUUUCUAUUUAUAUCGCUGUCAAGGUGAUGGAAUUUUUGUACGCAAACAACAUGGCUUUCCAUUACCCCGAGCCUGCAGACAAGAACCGUUACAUUCGAUCCAAAGUUUGGACCUACGAAUACGAGUCCUUCAUGCCAGACGUGUACGACUGGCCUGAAUCUAAAGUUCACUGACACCUCGGAAGAUCGCGCUCCUCAGGCAGUAUCUUCUACUCUGCAGGGAUCCCCUUUUCCAGACCAAUUUAAAUCAUCAUCUUUUGAGUCCUGUUAAUUUAUUUUUCGCUCAUUUUGUUGUCUUUUUUCCCCUCGUUACCCUGUUUUUCACUUGGCGUAGAUCUCUCCCCAGCACCUGAUAAACUGUAGGGAUAAUGGCAUCUGUCACAGGAAUGAGAGAGCUCUCCAAAAUUAAUUUAAAUAUUGAUAUUGCAUUUCUUGCUCAGAAUCUGCACCAGAAUUCCAUUAAUGAUGUUUUUUGCUACGAUGAUCUAUAGCUCUCUCAUCACUGUUGGCUUCCAGAAUGAUUUAUUUCUGCUUUUAAUAAUCAGUCUUCUCCUCGUCCUACUGUUGUCACGCUGCGUUAUCCGUGACGUCGCCGGAGAGCAUUUGUCAAAGGUAAAAAAAACCAACAUCUUAAGACAAAUUUAACAGUCUCGUGGGCUUUCUGGUUUGUCUGAUGUGUAAAGAUGCCCCUGUCCAGGCUUCCUCGUGGCAUUGGCUGCUCUGAUUUUUUUUGAGGAGCAGCAUCAUGUCUGUAUUCCAUGUUCUGCAUCAAUCUAUUAUCAGGAAAAAUGUGAGCUCGUUCCAAUUAUCCUUGGAAAGCCCAACAAAUAAUCUUAACCACUUAAUAGCUUUGCAAAACGAAGCUACGCCGUUGCCUGAUAAAUCAUAUCACAGAAAGGCAGGAUCUGAAAUAAUCAAUAGAAAUCUUUUAGAGAUUUUUUUUUUUUUCCAAGACUUUCUGCAGUGGACUCCAAGGGGAGGUACCAGAGGCUUUAUGUUCAGCAUUAAUUUUUUUGUCAAGGUUCUGUUUCUCCUGAGCUAAAUUGUUUUCUCCCCAAAAAAGCCUCGUGCGUGGUGUUUUCGUGACAUCGCUGACUCCGAAACUCCUAAGAGGUCUCGGUUGCCGCUUCGAACAAACUCCCCCCCCACACACACACACAUGCAGCUGAACCAAAAAGCAGCACAGGCAGCUAUUGACACCCCCAUUUCCAGUUGGACCAAAGGUUUCUUGUGGUCUCAGCCCAGUAGGUUCAGUUCAAUUCGACUACAGGACUCGAAAGAUCUCAGAUGCUCCAAAUCGAGCGCUUCACCUUCCUCGGCUCCGUUUACAGCUUUCAUUUUUCGGGCCUUUUUGUGUUAAAAAAUCCCAAAUCAAGUUUUCAGAUCCCUGGGAAAAGGAAGAAGACUUUGGUGUUUGUCUUUAGCCAGUUUGUGAGUCCUAAACAUAUCGCAGAGUUGAUUUUUCUUUUUUUUUCUCCUUGCAGUGAAUAUUACUGCACAUUUGAUGCCGAUACCACAAUGUGCAUUCCUUUUCAUCUUGUUCCUAUCUGGUUUGAGUUGCCCUCCAGUAUUUUUAUUUUUUUUUAACAGCAGCGAGAGUUACAGUCGGUGGUGACUCUAAAUCUGGUCUCCUUAACAAGAACAAUGGUAUGUCAGGAACAGAAAUAAAUAACAUGUGCUGCAUCGAGGCGAAAAAGGACAAAAAAUAAAUAGAUAGAUAGAUGUAAAAGGGCUAUACCAGCAAACUUGAAGCUGGAAUCCAAAGAGGUGUUGAAGUAAAGCUUGCUUGGGAUUUACCAGCAGCAAACACCUCUCUCAUAUCCUCAUUUAUACUGGAAAAUGCAUUCUCCACCCAAAAUAGAGCAGAGAAAAUAAUCUCUGAACCCCCUUCGACACGAUCUCUGUCGCUUACCGCCCGGCCCCUGAUUUUCAAACGAAAUUCACAUCUUAGAUAAAAAAGAACAAUAAACUUUGGGAAGGCUUUACCUAAGUGAGGAAAGAAGACUGAUUAUAUAAACCCAGAAAAUAGUGAUUUCGGGGAAA